rnacentral:ncRNA from 2 species
UAGUAUCUUCGGGGCGAGGUGCAAGCCCUCACCGGCGGUGAAAGCCCGCGAGUUCUGUUGUGGCAACAGAACAGAUCCGGUGAAAUCCCGGAGCCGACGGUGACAGUCCGGAUAGGAGAAGAUACUA